rnacentral:rRNA from 1 species
AUUGAACGCUGGCGGCAGGCCUAACACAUGCAAGUCGAGCGGAUGAAGGGAGCUUGCUCCUGGAUUCAGCGGCGGACGGGUGAGUAAUGCCUAGGAAUCUGCCUGGUAGUGGGGGAUAACGUCCGGAAACGGGCGCUAAUACCGCAUACGUCCUGAGGGAGAAAGUGGGGGAUCUUCGGACCUCACGCUAUCAGAUGAGCCUAGGUCGGAUUAGCUAGUUGGUGGGGUAAAGGCCUACCAAGGCGACGAUCCGUAACUGGUCUGAGAGGAUGAUCAGUCACACUGGAACUGAGACACGGUCCGGACUCCUACGGGAGGCAGCAGUGGGGAAUAUUGGACAAUGGGCGAAAGCCUGAUCCGGCCAUGCCGCGUGUGUGAAGAAGGUCUUCGGAUUGUAAAGCACUUUAAGUUGGGAGGAAGGGCAGUAAGUUAAUACCUUGCUGUUUGGACGUUACCAACAGAAGAAGCACCGGCUAACUUCGU